CUCAACCUCGGAAUUGCAUUUGAAACUGGCAGACUAGAGUACUGUAGAGGGGGGUAGAAUUUCAGGUGUAGCGGUGAAAUGCGUAGAGAUCUGAAGGAAUACCGGUGGCGAAGGCGGCCCCCUGGACAGAUACUGACACUCAGAUGCGAAAGCGUGGGGAGCAAACAGGAUUAGAUACCCUGGUAGUCCACGCCGUAAACGAUGUCUACUUGGAGGUUGUGGCCUUGAGCCGUGGCUUUCGGAGCUAACGCGUUAAGUAGACCGCCUGGGGAGUACGGUCGCAAGAUUAAAACUCAAAUGAAUUGACGGGGGCCCGCACAAGCGGUGGAGCAUGUGGUUUAAUUCGAUGCAACGCGAAGAACCUUACCUACUCUUGACAUCCAUAGAAACGUCNUGAGAU
rnacentral:rRNA from 1 species